CGUAGGGGACGAGCGUUGUCCGGAUUCAUUGGGCGUAAAGCGCGCGUAGGCGGCUCGGAAAGUCGGUCGUGAAAGGCUGGGGCUCAACCCCAGGACUGCGUCCGAUACUUCCGGGCUGGAGGUAGGUAGGGGAGAUCGAAAUUCCUGGUGUAGCGGUGAAAUGCGCAGAUAUCAGGAGGAACACCGGUGGCGAAGGCGGAUCUCUGGGCCUUACCUGACGCUGAGGCGCGAAAGCUAGGGGAGCGAACAGGAUUAGAUACCCUGGUAGUCCUAGCCGUAAACGUUGGGUGCUAGGUGUGGGCGGACAUCGACCCCGUCCGUGCCGAAGCUAACGCAUUAAGCACCCCGCCUGGGGAGUACGGCCGCAAGGCUA
rnacentral:rRNA from 1 species